rnacentral:rRNA from 1 species
CACUAUCGUUAACUGAAUACAUAGGUUAACGAGGCGAACCGGGGGAACUGAAACAUCUAAGUACCCCGAGGAAAAGAAAUCAACCGAGAUUCCCCCAGUAGCGGCGAGCGAACGGGGAGCAGCCCGGAGUCUGAAUCAGCUUGUGUGUUAGUGGAACGGUCUGGAAAGUCCGACGGUACAGGGUGAUAGUCCCGUACACGAAAGCACACUUGCUGUGAACUCGAAGAGUAGGGCGGGACACGUGGUAUCCUGUCUGAAUAUGGGGGGACCAUCCUCCAAGGCUAAAUACUCCUGACUGACCGAUAGUGAACCAGUACCGUGAGGGAAAGGCGAAAAGAACCCCGGCGAGGGGAGUGAAAAAGAACCUGAAACCGUGUACGUACAAGCAGUGGGAGCACCUUCGUGGUGUGACUGCGUACCUUUUGUAUAAUGGGUCAGCGACUUAUAUUCUGUAGCAAGGUUAACCGUAUAGGGGAGCCGAAGGGAAACCGAGUCUUAACUGGGCGUUAAGUUGCAGGGUAUAGACCCGAAACCCGGUGAUCUAGCCAUGGGCAGGUUGAAGGUUGGGUAACACUAACUGGAGGACCGAACCGACUAAUGUUGAAAAAUUAGCGGAUGACCUGUGGCUGGGGGUGAAAGGCCAAUCAAACCGGGAGAUAGCUGGUUCUCCCCGAAAGCUAUUUAGGUAGCGCCUCGUGAACUCAUCUUCGGGGGUAGAGCACUGUUUCGGCUAGGGGGCCAUCCCGGCUUACCAACCCGAUGCAAACUACGAAUACCGAAGAAUGUUAUCACGGGAGACACACGGCGGGUGCUAACGUCCGUCGUGAAGAGGGAAACAACCCAGACCGCCAGCUAAGGUCCCAAAGUCAUGGUUAAGUGGGAAACGAUGUGGGAAGGCACAGACAGCCAGGAUGUUGGCUUAGAAGCAGCCAUCAUUUAAAGAAAGCGUAAUAGCUCACUGGUCGAGUCGGCCUGCGCGGAAGAUGUAACGGGGCUAAACCAUGCACCGAAGCUGCGGCAGCGACACUUAUGUGUUGUUGGGUAGGGGAGCGUUCUGUAAGCCGUUGAAGGUGUGCUGUGAGGCAUGCUGGAGGUAUCAGAAGUGCGAAUGCUGACAUAAGUAACGAUAAAGCGGGUGAAAAGCCCGCUCGCCGGAAGACCAAGGGUUCCUGUCCAACGUUAAUCGGGGCAGGGUGAGUCGACCCCUAAGGCGAGGCCGAAAGGCGUAGUCGAUGGGAAACAGGUUAAUAUUCCUGUACUUGGUGUUACUGCGAAGGGGGGACGGAGAAGGCUAUGUCAGCCGGGCGACGGUUGUCCCGGUUUAAGCAUGUAGGCGGAGGUUCCAGGUAAAUCCGGUACCUUGUUAACGCUGAGGUGUGAUGACGAGGCACUACGGUGCUGAAGUGAUAAAUGCCCUGCUUCCAGGAAAAGCCUCUAAGCAUCAGGUAACACGAAAUCGUACCCCAAACCGACACAGGUGGUCAGGUAGAGAAUACCAAGGCGCUUGAGAGAACUCGGGUGAAGGAACUAGGCAAAAUGGUGCCGUAACUUCGGGAGAAGGCACGCUGAUGUGUAGGUGAAGUCCCUGCGGACGGAGCUGAAAUCAGUCGAAGAUACCAGCUGGCUGCAACUGUUUAUUAAAAACACAGCACUGUGCAAACACGAAAGUGGACGUAUACGGUGUGACGCCUGCCCGGUGCCGGAAGGUUAAUUGAUGGGGUUAGCUGUAAGGCGAAGCUCUUGAUCGAAGCCCCGGUAAACGGCGGCCGUAACUAUAACGGUCCUAAGGUAGCGAAAUUCCUUGUCGGGUAAGUUCCGACCUGCACGAAUGGCGUAAUGAUGGCCAGGCUGUCUCCACCCGAGACUCAGUGAAAUUGAACUCGCUGUGAAGAUGCAGUGUACCCGCGGCAAGACGGAAAGACCCCGUGAACCUUUACUAUAGCUUGACACUGAACACUGGUCCUUGAUGUGUAGGAUAGGUGGGAGGCUUUGAAGCGUGGACGCCAGUCUGCGUGGAGCCGCCCUUGAAAUACCACCCUUUAAUGGCUGGUGUUCUAACGUAGACCCGUAAUCCGGGUUGCGGACAGUGUCUGGUGGGUAGUUUGACUGGGGCGGUCUCCUCCCAAAGAGUAACGGAGGAGCACGAAGGUUGGCUAAUCCUGGUCGGACAUCAGGAGGUUAGUGCAAUGGCAUAAGCCAGCUUGACUGCGAGCGUGACGGCGCGAGCAGGUGCGAAAGCAGGUCAUAGUGAUCCGGUGGUUCUGAAUGGAAGGGCCAUCGCUCAACGGAUAAAAGGUACUCCGGGGAUAACAGGCUGAUACCGCCCAAGAGUUCAUAUCGACGGCGGUGUUUGGCACCUCGAUGUCGGCUCAUCACAUCCUGGGGCUGAAGUAGGUCCCAAGGGUAUGGCUGUUCGCCAUUUAAAGUGGUACGCGAGCUGGGUUUAGAACGUCGUGAGACAGUUCGGUCCCUAUCUGCCGUGGGCGCUGGAGAAUUGAGGGGGGCUGCUCCUAGUACGAGAGGACCGGAGUGGACGCAUCACUGGUGUUCGGGUUGUCAUGCCAAUGGCACUGCCCGGUAGCUAAAUGCGGAAGAGAUAAGUGCUGAAAGCAUCUAAGCACGAAACUUGCCCCGAGAUGAGUUCUCCCUGAGACUUUAAGUCUCCUGAAGGAACGUUAAAGACGAUGACGUUGAUAGGUCGGGUGUGUAAGCGCAGCGAUGCGUUGAGCUAACCGAUACUAAUGAACCGUGAGGCUUAACCUU